UACGGGGGGGGUAAGCGUUGUUCGGAAUUACUGGGCGUAAAGGGCUCGUAGGCGGCCAACUAAGUCAGACGUGAAAUCCCUCAGCUUAACUGGGGAACUGCGUCUGAUACUGGAUGGCUUGGAUUCGGGAGAGGAAUGCGGAAUUCCAGGUGUAGCGGUGAAAUGCGUAGAUAUCUGGAGGAACACCGUGGCGAAGGCGGCUCUCUGGGACGUGACUGACGCUGAGACGCGAAAGCGUGGGGAGCGAACAGG
rnacentral:rRNA from 1 species